UGCCUAUGUUACUACAUGUCGUAAGACC
rnacentral:piRNA from 1 species